GAUGAACGCUGGCGGCGUGCCUAAUACAUGCAAGUCGAGCGAACAGACGAGGAGCUUGCUCCUCUGACGUUAGCGGCGGACGGGUGAGUAACACGUGGAUAACCUACCUAUAAGACUGGGAUAACUUCGGGAAACCGGAGCUAAUACCGGAUAAUAUAUUGAACCGCAUGGUUCAAUAGUGAAAGACGGUUUUGCUGUCACUUAUAGAUGGAUCCGCGCCGCAUUAGCUAGUUGGUAAGGUAACGGCUUACCAAGGCAACGAUGCGUAGCCGACCUGAGAGGGUGAUCGGCCACACUGGAGCUGAGACACGGUCCAGACUCCUACGGGAGGCAGCAGUAGGGAAUCUUCCGCAAUGGGCGAAAGCUUGACGGAGCAACGCCGCGUGAGUGAUGAAGGUCUUCGGAUCGUAAAACUCUGUUAUUAGGGAAGAACAAAUGUGUAAGUAACGAUGCACGUCUUGACGGUACCUAAGCAGAAAGCCACGGCUAACUACGG
rnacentral:rRNA from 1 species